rnacentral:rRNA from 1 species
CCCCGGCUCUCAAAAGGCCCCUUGGCUUCUUGUCCCAAUUUAUAUGAAAAACCACUCUUUUUAUUAAGAUUACUGUCUAAAACCGUACAAGUAAGAUAGUUUGGUUGGGGCGACCGCCUUCGAAAAAGUAUCGAAGGCGCACAUAAGAUUAGUCCGGAGGGGGGUCCUACGGAUCCCCCUCCCGGGGGCAAUGCCCCAAAAAAGAUUAGUUUGACUGAAAGGGCUACAACCCGAACAGGCGCCUGGGGAUGGGGGGCGAU